GGAAAAUUAAACGCCAUCGUGGGCACGUGGGGCAUGGAGCAGUUUCGUCACUUCCCAUUUCAUCUCCAGAUUAUUUUUUCCCCUCUCCGUUUGUUUCUCAUCCCUGAAAAUGGUCUAGGGGACGGGACCCUCCGUCGGCGAUGAACCCAUGGAUCGGAACCUCGCCUCGGGUUCCUCCCUGGCUCCCUCCCUUCGGCAGUACUCCGCCGCCGCUCAUGGCCCGCGUGAAGGAAGGAGUGAGAUCGAGCUGGCGCAUGCGCCACAUCAGAGGAAGAAGGGCCUGAUGCGCUCUGAUUUGGGACGGGCAGCUUCCUGCAUCGACCGUGGCCCCGUGCAUCAUCUCCAUCUAGUGGAUCCCGAUCUAAGUCUGCUAGGCAUGGCGGUGGGUACACAUCCCGGCGAAUCACCAAUCUGGCAGGAAGGAGUGGAGGUAAGGGUCUGCUUGAAGGAAGGAGUCGAGAUCUGGCUGGCGCGGGGCAAGAGCAGCGAAGCCUCUGACCGGAUCAGGGGAGAAUGGCAGGAGAGCUGCGUUGGACGUCCACGCCAACUACAUUCAUAGAAGCAAGGAUUUAUCAGUUGGAGUCACUCAGCAAGUACAUACAGGUCAGCUGAAGUUCCUUGAAUUUUACAUUUGCAGUGCUGCCGCUGUGACGUCUGACUGCAGUUCAGUUGAAAGGAGGCACAUUAGCACAUACACUCAAUCUUAGUUUUCUUGUAUAGGUGGUGUGCUGGUAAUCCUGCUGAUGCGUGUACAAUCUUAUGAUCCGUGCAUGUACACAUUAACUGAAUUUUAAUGUAAAUGAUAUUUCAUUCCAUGCG